AAACUUUCAACAACGGAUCUCUUGGUUCCGGCAUCGAUGAAGAACGCAGCGAAAUGCGAUAAAUAAUGCGAAUUGCAGAAUUCAGUGAGUCAUCGAGUUUUUGAACGCACAUUGCGCCCUCUGGAAUUCCAGAGGGCAUACCUGUUCGAGCGUCAUUG
rnacentral:rRNA from 1 species